rnacentral:rRNA from 1 species
GACGAACGCUGGCGGCGUGCUUAACACAUGCAAGUCGAGCGGUAAGGCCCUUUCGGGGGUACGACGAGCGGCGAACGGGUGAGUAACACGUGGGUGACCUGCCCUCAGCUCUGGGAUAAGCCUGGGAAACUGGGUCUAAUACCGGAUAUGACUCCAUGACGCAUGUUGUGGGGUGGAAAGCCUUGUGCGGCUGAGGAUGGGCCCGCGGCCUAUCAGCUUGUUGGUGGGGUGAGGCCUACCAAGGCGACGACGGGUAGCCGGCCUGAGAGGGCGACCGGCCACACUGGGACUGAGACACGGCCCAGACUCCUACGGGAGGCAGCAGUGGGGAAUCUUGCGCAAUGGGCGAAAGCCUGACGCAGCGACGCCGCGUGAGGGAUGACGGCCUCGGUGUAAC